CGAGGAGCAGCGCGUAGGGAGCGACCACCGCCAACCACCCACCGCUCUCACAGUCCUCUCCUGUGCCCCCCCUCCAUCACCCCACCACUAACACCAUCUCCUCUCCGCAACGAGAAAAAAAAAUUACACACAUCCGCAGGGGGUGAUGUGCAACUAAUUAAAGGCAGGCUGGCAGUGUCUGCAAUUCCUAAGGCUCCCUAAAUAAAAAAGAGACUGCUGGAGGAGGAUGCCCAGGGAGCCGCUGCCCGGACGGUCGGCGUCGGUGGAGAUGCGCCCGGAGCAGCAGCAGCAGCAGCAGCAGCAGCAGGAGGAGGAGGAGGAGGCGGAGUAGAGCCGUUGGCCACCAUCCCCUUCC